UCAAGUUUUAGCUUAUUCUUUCUCAGUUGUGUCCAGUAGCUAAUCUCUUCCGACUCUUCUGAAAUAUUGAUGAAGAGUGAGCUGCUCUGUUUCUGUUUACUCCUCAAAUCUGCAUGAUUUAAUCCAAGAACUUCUUGACCCCAUUUGACUUGGCACCCCCUUAUUUUUCUUUUUUUCUUGCAGCCCUCAAACAAUCAAGGAAUUGAGGAAUCAAUUAAGGGUAUUGCAAACUCAACUUACAGGAGUAUAAAAAAGACUGAGGAUCACUUUGAGGCCAAUCACUUUGAAGUUGCUAUUUGUUGUGGAAAUUAAAUCGUUGAUUUUGUAAUUCAUAUAUUGUAAUUUAGUAUUUCGUAAUGUAAUGUAUAAAUAACAAAUAAUAUAAUAUGUAGUGGAUUGUAUUGUAAUGCAUGCAUACUUGCAUAGAUGAAUAUUGGAAUUUUUUUUUGUUUUACAUGCAUUUUUAUUGGGAGGCAAAUUAAGUGAAACU